rnacentral:rRNA from 1 species
UACGGAGAGGGCUAGCGUUAUUCGGAAUUAUUGGGCGUAAAGAGCGCGUAGGCUGGUUAGUAAGUUAAAAGUGAAAUCCCGAGGCUCAACCUUGGAAUUGCUUUUAAAACUGCUAAUCUAGAGAUUGAAAGAGGGUAGAGGAAUUCCUAGUGUAGAGGUGAAAUUCGUAAAUAUUAGGAGGAACACCAGUGGCGAAGGCGUCUAUCUGGUUCAAAUCUGACGCUGAGGCGCGAAGGCGUGGGGAGCAAACAGGG